UUUUCCGUAUAUAUAUAUACUUGACGUUUCCCAGAAAUUGAAUUGAAAUGAAAAUAUUGUUUAAAAUGAAAUGCAUAUGAGUUAUGUGGAAAAACGGGAAGUGAAAAUACCAUGCAUAGAAUUGAUAUGAAAAGUAUAUAGAAAUGUGAGUUGAAAUGCCAUGCAUGAAUUGAUAUAUGAUGCAUAUGUAUGAAUUGGUGCGGUGGACGCACAUGUAAGAAUUAAUAUAUGAUGCAUAUGUAUGAAUUGGUGCGGUGGACGCACAUGUAAGAAUUGAUUUAUGAUGCAUAUGUAUGAAAUGGUGCGGUGGACGCACAGGUGAGUAUCAGGUGAUUAUUUAAAUACUGUUAUGAUGAUGUUGAUAUAUAUUGAGCUCAAAUCCUGCACCAUGGUUUAGUGCUUAUAGUAUUCACCGCAUCGCACGCUCGCCUUGGAUCCAAGUAGAUGCUAGUCGUACAGUCCACGCGGAGUGGGUACGACAGACCAGUCGCGAGAGUGUUAGUGAGAUUCCGACUGGUGGGUGACCUUAGAUUAUGUGCACAGAUGAUUUAUGAGAAGCACUAGAGCGUAACUUGUGUGCAGAAGGCCGGACGGGUCACAGAGGUGACUCCGGUAGAGUGAUAAUGAUAGAUUUUGAGCUCUAGGUUCAACCGUACAGGGCUAUUAGAGGGCCUACGGUUGAUUACUUUCUUGCACCUGAUAUGAUUAUGUUGAUGCAUUCAUACCUUAUUACUGUUGAGAUGAUGUGUGCAUGGCAUAAUUAAUAUGAGAAAUGUUGAGAUGAACAUGGCAUGGCAUGAGAUUGAUAAAGAGAUAAUGUUGAGAUAGUAAAAAUGAAGUUUUGAGAAUAUAUAUGUAUAUUUAUAUUUUACAUUUCUGGGAAAGUAUACACAGGUUUUACGGAGAGGGGUUACAACGUUUUGAGAAAUGUUUGGAUUUGGAAAAGAAUUGUUUUACUGACCCACUCAAUUUUGGUUUUGCGCCCCUCCAGGUUCAGGAAUCACAAAGGUGUGGUGACUACGAGGAAUUCGACGGUGUUCUGACAGAUUGGACAAAAUUAGGACUCACCUUCGGGUGUAUCAACUUAUAAAUUGUAUCUUAAAGCUUCCGUACUGUGCAAAUGGUUACGUCACUCUCACGUGACGGCCAGCAUGCCCUCCUUCGGGACGGGGUGUGUCAGUUGGUAUCAAGAGCAUGGUUGCAAUCUUGGACAUCUUGAGAAGUUUUUAGUGAAUUCUGUCAGAACUACACCGCCUCGUAGCAAACCACGUAGUUAGAGGAACUUAGUCUCCCUGAUUUAGCGGUUUGGGGGAAACUAUUAUUAUGGUGAUUCAGUAUAUUAUCAAAUUAACAUUUUAAGACGGGUUAUGAGUUGAAUUUGAAUCACCUUAUGAAAUGAUGAACCUGAGGGAGCGGAGUGACGGUUUAACCAAUUGGAAAAGAUGUUUCAGAUUAUGCAAGUCAAAGGAAAUUUCCUUCUGACAGGUGGGUCGAGACGACUACCUGGUUUUGGGUAUGAAUUUGCAUCCUGGUGGAAACAGGAAUGUUAAUUGUUGUCACCAGAGGAAUCAGCCGAUUUAAAAUUUUUUUAAGGAAAAGUUUAUCCCUCCGGCAUUUAUUGAUGGUAGUAAACAAGAGUUUACAAAUAUGAGACAAGGAAGGUGAUGAUCGAGGGAUAUUAUAGAAAGUUUUCAGACUUGCCUCGUUCCAUCCAGAUAUUGUUGUUAAUUUGGUGGAGGUGUUAUGUUGUUUUAAGCUGGGUGGCAAAAAGGGAAGUGGUAUUUUGGGUGACCACUAUCCAUUAUACUUCUUACCAGGAAUAUACGAGAUGCUGUUGAGUCUUGAGGACUCUGAGAACAUGAGCAACGAGAAUAAAGAAGAAUAAGAAAAGAAUGGGAAUUAAAAGAAGACAAUAAAGUUAAUGAUUCGUCAUAUCAAGAAUAUCGAAGGAUUCAGAGCUUCGAAAGAAGUGAAGCUAGAGUUAAUUCUUCCAGCUGAGGUUUUAAUGUCGCUGGUCAGAGUAAAAGUGAUGGAUAUACUGGUAAUCCCAGAUAUUUGAGACAAGGUGUCUCGAGUAAAGGAAAUGUACUUUGGGCAGCAGGUACAAAAUUAACACUUUGGGAAGUGUGAAAUUAAUGAAUGUGUUUAUGUGAACAGAGGGGACACAGAAUUGUGAAUCGUCCCUAGAAUCAGUUGUACCCAACAGUUUUCUAUGACAUCGUAGUAUCGAUUCAGCAGGUUUAUGGACUUAGUAGUUUGGUCAGAUUGACCGUGGGUACAGAGAGAUUUGAUGAGUUAUAUGUUCAGCCGUACAGACCACGAGAGGUGGAUUUGACUGACACAUGAGAAAUUGGUGAGUUAUAGGCUCGGCCGUACCGACCACGCGGAGUGGAUCUGGCCGACGCAUUAUUGAGGUAAUUGUUGAAUCAGCCGUACAAGUCAUUCUAGUUGACUCCGGCUGAUAUAUAUAUAUUUUAUUAUGAUUGAUAUUACCUAGAGAGUAGUAAAUAAAUGUAGUUGAGACGAGUGUAUGUAUUUUGCAUUGAGUGAUAAAAUAGUAAUGUUAUAUCUUUGAGAGUGGUUGCCUACUUAUCGAGACAACGAUGAUUUAUCAGUAUUGCGGGCUGCAGACCGUAAUAUUAAUAACUCCUUCGUGGAUUCGUUAAGCAAGCAAACCGGUAGGUUAUUUUUAUGUUAGUGUUGUACUUAUUUAGAAUGUUCAGUAUUAAUAAAGUAUGUAUUGUGUCGGUUAAAUUAUUUCCAUUAGAGUGGUUGGUUAUAAUUGUGACUAAAUGGAUUGUUACGGGAAACCAGUCACUUUCCAUCGAUCUGGAUGACCAGAGAUUACUUUUGUAAGUAUGCAAAGUGAAGUGAGUUCAGCCAUUAUUUAUGCUGUGAAAGCAAAGAGAUUGUUUUGAAAGGCUGUCAAAAAUACUUAGCUCAUGUGGUGCUAAAUGAUGUUGUUUGGAGUAGUGUGAAUAAUGUCGAAAGGGUUAGACUUUUCUUGAUGUCUUCCCUGAAAGUAUACCUGGAUUGCCUUCAGGCAGAGAUAUGAGGUUCACUAUUGAUUUGUUGCCAGGUAUAAAUUUAUAUUGGAGAUUGGUUCAUGAUGAGUUAAGGGAAUUGGAAAUUCAGUUGAAAGAAUUGGUUGAUAAAAGUUUCAUUCAACCUAGUACAACACUUUUGAGGAGCCCCAGUUUGUUGGUGAGGAAGAAAAUGGAUCUUGAGACUGUUCAUUGAUUAUAGACAAUGGAGUCGGGUAACGAUUGAGAACCGUUAUCCAUGGUGAUGUACUGAUGUUUAUUUAACCAGCUCAGAAGUAAUUGCGAAGAUUCAAAGAUUGAAUUGAGAUCUGGUUACUACCAAUUGAAUAUUAUAAGUGACGUUGAUCAUAAGAUAGUUUCUGGACUUGUUAUGGUCCUUAUAAAGUUUGGUGAUGCUAUGUGGAUACUCAUGCGGUUUUAUGAGUUGAUGGAUGAAGUAUUCCAAUAAUGCCUUGAUAAUUGAUAUCAUUUUCAUUGAAGAUAUUCUGGCAUAUUCUGAGCCAGAGCAGAGCAUGUAAACGUAUUAAGUCGGUAGAACAAAGAUUGGAAGAAUGUCGAUUGUAUGCUAAGUUUAGCAAAUGCGAAUGUUGGAUGAAUCAAGCAGCAUUUCUGGGAUAUGUUAUAUAUUCUUAAGGUAUUCAAGUGAAUCCUUAAAAGGUAACAGAAAUUAAAAUUUGGAACAACCACGAGUCGUAAUUGAGAUUUGGAAUUUCUUAGCUUACCAGGCUAUCUUGGAUGGUUGUGAAAGAUUUUUCAGUCAUUGCUUUGUCAUUGACGAGACUGUUGAGAAAAGAGGUUAUGUAUGAGUGGGAAGGAAAUUGUGAGCAAAGGAUUCAACAACUGAAGUAUUUCCUCACUCAUGCACGUAUUUUAGUAAUCCUAGAAGAUAGUGGUAAUCAUAAAUUUUUAGUGAUGUUUCUUGAAUGGUAUUGGAGGCAUGUUGAUGCAAAUGUUAGGGUGAUUGUAUAUGUUUCACGACAAAUGGAACCUCAUGAGAUGAAUUACCCUACUGGUGAUUUGGAAGUCACGAUUAUCAUUCUUGCUGUGAAGUUAUGAAGGCAUUAUAUUUGGUAAGAAUGCAAGAUUUUUACGAAUCCAAAAAGUCUUCAAUAUCCAUUACUUGGAAGGAUUUUGAUAUGAGGCAGCGAAAGUGAAUUGUAUUGCUUAAUGAACACGAUUGUACGAUCAGGGUGAUCGUAAAGCUUGUUCUAGCUGAAGCACUUGGUGAGAAGACUACAGUAAGAUUAAUGUCUGGCACGUUUGCCAAGAGUAUCAUCUUGUGGAUUGAAAACCAACGGAAGAAAAAUUAAGAAUGGAAGAUCGAGAAGAAGUUAUACUUGUUAAGUAACAAGUUAGUACAUUUACUCCAGUGUUGAGUAACAACCUUUCCCAGACAGUUCAACAUUACUUAUUUGUUUUAUGGAAAAGAGAAUUGGUUUACGGAACUGCUAAGUUUCUUAAGUAUGUUGGUUGCGCAGUUUCCGAAGUGAAGCCAUAAGGUUCAUGAAGUGUGUCAUGUGUGUAUUUUGUUGACUUGUGAAUGGAAUAUUUCUGGGUAGAGAAAGAUUCGAUCGAGAAAGAGUUUUAGUAGACCCUGAGACUAUGGAUGAGUCUCCUCAAAGUAUUCAGGUGAUUAAGUUAACCUAAAAGUAACCAGGAAUGACAAAAGACAUCAACAGAUGGAUAUGCCACUAAUCGAGUAUAUAAGGUAAAUGGUUUUAUAUUUUAGAAGUGUUCACCUUAGAAAAGUAGAAUUUGGAUUGAAAAAAGAAGGUCCUGAGAGUUAAGAUAGAGUAAAUGGUAAAAGUUUUGUGAAGGAAUCAUUCAGUGGAAGAAAAUUACGUGGGAGAAAAAGAAUCGGAUGAAAAAAAAAAAAAAAAACUUACCGAGGUUGGUAUAAGUGUUGAUGAAUUGGUUGGUUGCUGGAAUUUCGGGGACGAAAUUCUAUAAGGAGGGAAGAUUGUCACAGCCCGUUCCAAAUUAUUAUAUUCGUGGCUGUGAAUGGACGAAAUUGCCCUUAAGAAAUACUAAAUUGUGAAGCUCAGGUUGCUAAUUAUCUAGGUUCCUAAGUUUGAAAAUAAAAUGGAAUUUAAUAAGGAUGGAACUUAGAUUUUUAGGUUAAAAUGUUAAAGUUUGGUGUUUGGAGAUUGGAAUAAGGACCACGUGGGAUCCCCACAUCCCUCAAAACCCUCCUCAUUUCCCGUUCACUGUCUUUCUCUCUCCUCCUUCACGAUUUCUCACUCUCUCUGUCUCUCUCCUUCGAACUCACACGGACCACCACCAAAACCACCCUAAAUCUAUACCAACGUCAAGUUUGAGACCACCAUGGGAAUCCUGAGGACUUCACGAUCACGUUGGUAUCCAUUUCAGGUAAGUUUUACUUCGGAAAACCUAGAUUCUAAACUCCCCAUGAAAGUGUACUGUUCAUGAGCUUUGAAUUGGUUGAUUUUUAGGACAAUCCAAGCUCAUAGUGAGCUUAGUGAGGUCCCAAGGAAGCUCGGAGUGCUUCGUUGGAAGUUUUUGGACGUAAGAACACGGAGAUCGACAAGUUCAAAGUUUGGCCGGAGCUUUAGAGGCUUUUUUCCGGCGAAUCCCCGGCGAGUUAGGAGUCGAGGUAGGUAUCAAUCUCUUCGUCUCGUCAAGUACUACAACUUUCCUUUUUGUUUCACUCAAUUUCGUUGAGUAUUGAAGAAGUUAUACUCAUUUGAAAAAUACCCAGUUUCCGGCGACCUCCGAGGCUUUCGAGGCAGUUUCCGGCCAAACCACGGCGAACUAGGUGUUGUGCAAGGUACCAUUCUCUUUGUCUCUUCAAGGGCUACAACUUUCGUUUUUGAAUCACUUGAUUUCGUUGAGAAAUGACAAAAAGUUAUGGCAAUUUGAAAAACUGCCGGAAAACGGCCGCCGGAAAAACCAGUCCGGCGACCCAAGGAAGAAGAAGGUGCUACAGUAAAAAAUAAAAAAUAAAAAUAAAAUUAUUUUAAAAAUAUGUCGACGUCCGUGACGUCGAGUAGAUCACUGUGGUAUAUUCAUAUACCUAAAUUGAACACCGUAUGAGAAAGUUAUUGAGGAUUGUUGGUUAGGUGUUCGAAUAACGUUUUAUAGUUUUCACAUUAGGUGAAAAUGUGAAUUGAUGAUCCGACCGUUGGAUCAUCACCAAACUUUGAUACGUUGUAAUACGUAAUAUUUGAAGAUUAUUGGAACUUACGGAUUGGGAAUCCGAGUUACGGAUCUUCCGGAAUUGGAAUUGUAAGUCCAUAAUAUAAAAUGUUAACCGUCACUUAGUUUUGGAAAUUGACGGAGAUCCGACCGUUGGAUGGUAAUGAAAUUUUAGGAUGUUGUCCUAGAGGUAUAUUGUAGACCUCUGGAAGUUAUGGAUUUAAAAUCUGAGUGGCAGAUCUUCCGGAUCGAUCAACGUAGUGACGUAUUUUAUAUAAGUUAUGUAUUCUAUCGAUGUGAAUUCUGAGGUUGGAUUUGAUUACUGUUCUAGGCGGCGAUCGUCAUGACGCCUUGGCGUAUUGUGCUAGGGAGUUGUAGGGCGAACUCCAGGUGAGUGGGCAGUUUUGUUUUCCGUAUAUAUAUAUACUUGACGUUUCCCAGAAAUUGAAUUGAAAUGAAAAUAUGUUUAAAAUGAAAUGCAUAUGAGUUAUGUGGAAAAACGGGAAGUGAAAUACCAUGCAUAGAAUUGAUAUGAAAAGUAUAUAGAAAUGUGAGUUGAAAUGCCAUGCAUGAAUUGAUAUAUGAUGCAUAUGUAUGAAUUGGUGCGGUGGACGCACAUGUAAGAAUUAAUAUAUGAUGCAUAUGUAUGAAUUGGUGCGGUGGACGCACAUGUAAGAAUUGAUUUAUGAUGCAUAUGUAUGAAAUGGUGCGGUGGACGCACAGGUGAGUAUCAGGUGAUUAUUUAAAUACUGUUAUGAUGAUGUUGAUAUAUAUUGAGCUCAAAUCCUGCACCAUGGUUUAGUGCUUAUAGUAUUCACCGCAUCGCACGCUCGCCUUGGAUCCAAGUAGAUGCUAGUCGUACAGUCCACGCGGAGUGGGUACGACAG
rnacentral:lncRNA from 1 species